AKAGUUUGAUCCUGGGGUCAGAAUGAACGCUGGCGGUUUGUCUUACAGCGAUGCAAGUCGAACGNAAGGUAUGUGAUGCYUAGCUGCUCUUGUACUUCCGGGA
rnacentral:rRNA from 1 species